CGAGUGGCGAACGGGUGAGUAAUAUAUCGGAACGUACCCAAGAGUGGGGGAUAACGUAGCGAAAGUUACGCUAAUACCGCAUACGAUCUAAGGAUGAAAGCAGGGGAUCUUCGGACCUUGUGCUCCUGGAGCGGCCGAUAUCUGAUUAGCUAGUUGNUGAGGUAAAGGCUCACCAAGGCCACGAUCAGUAGCUGGUCUGAGAGGACGACCAGCCACACUGGAACUGAGACACGGUCCAGACUCCUACGGGAGGCAGCAGUGGGGAAUUUUGGACAAUGGGCGAAAGCCUGAUCCAGCAAUGCCGCGUGAGUGAAGAAGGCCUUCGGGUUGUAAAGCUCUUUUGUCAGGGAAGAAACGGUUAGGGCUAAUAUCCCUCGCUAAUGACGGUACCUGAAGAAUAAGCACCGGCUAACUACGUGCCAGCAGCCGCGGUAAUACGUAGGGUGCAAGCGUUAAUCGGAAUUACUGGGCGUAAAGCGUGCGCAGGCGGUUUUGUAAGUCUGACGUGAAAUCCCCGGGCUCAACCUGGGAAUUGCGUUGGAGACUGCAAGGCUAGAAUCUGGCAGAGGGGGGUAGAAUUCCACGUGUAGCAGUGAAAUGCGUAGAGAUGUGGAGGAACACCGAUGGCGAAGGCAGCCCCCUGGGUCAAGAUUGACGCUCAUGCACGAAAGCGUGGGGAGCAAACAGGAUUAGAUACCCUGGUAGUCCACGCCCUAAACGAUGUCUACUAGUUGUCGGGUUUUAAUUAACUUGGUAACGCAGCUAACGCGUGAAGUAGACCGCCUGGGGAGUACGGUCGCAAGAUUAAAACUCAAAGGAAUUGACGGGGACCCGCACAAGCGGUGGAUGAUGUGGAUUAAUUCGAUGCAACGCGAAAAACCUUACCUACCCUUGACA
rnacentral:sRNA from 1 species